rnacentral:RNase_P_RNA from 1 species
GAAGUAAGUCGUCUUAUCGCCUCUGCUUUAUGUAGGGGAGGAAAGUCUGGACAACAAAGAGCAUCAUGCUUCCUAACGGGAAGGCACGGAUUUGGCGACGAAAACGUGACAGCUAGUGCCACAGAAAAUUACCGCCUGCAAGGGUAAGGGUGAAAAGGUAGAGUAAGAGCCUACCGCUCGUUUGGUGACAAGCGAGGCAGAGGUAAACCUCAUGAGUUGAAAGACCAAAUAGGCUGGCGAGAAAAACCUUCGGGUUUGGAAAAAGGGCUGCUCGCCCGAUGUCAGUGGGUAGGUUGAUAGAGCGUAUCGGUGACGAUUCGUCGAGAUAAAUGAUAAGACAGCGCAAAAUUGGACAUUUUGCGACUGACAGAAUCCGGCUUAUAGAUUUACUUUAGGU